AUUGAACGCUGGCGGCACGCCUAACACAUGCAAGUCGAGCGGCAGCGCGAUAUGUAGCAAUACAUAUUGGCGGCGAGCGGCGGACGGGUGAGGAACACGUAGGAACCUACCCUCGAGUGGGGGAUAACCAGGGGAAACUUUGGCUAAUACCGCAUGAACUCGAGAGAGCAAAGCUGCCGCAAGGUGGCGCUCGAGGAGGGGCCUGCGUCCGAUUAGCUAGUUGGUGAGGUAAGAGCGCACCAAGGCGAUGAUCGGUAACUGGUCUGAGAGGACGACCAGUCACACUGGGACUGAGACACGGCCCAGACUCCUACGGGAAGCAGCAGUGGGGAAUAUUGGACAAUGGGGGCAACCCUGAUCCAGCGAUGCCGCGUGAGUGAAGAAGGCCUUCGGGUCGUAAAGCUCUUUAGGUUGGGAAGAAGGGUGAUGGAGGAAAUGCUAUCACUUUGACGGUACCGACAGAAUAAGCACCGGCAAACUCUGUGCCAGCCGCCGCAGUAACAC
rnacentral:rRNA from 1 species